AUUUCACACGCCAUUUAACAUUUCAUAUAUUAUUAUACUUUAAAUAAGGACAUUUGUUAAAUAUUAAGGUGCAUCCUACAUCGCUAUAUGUGCUUUGGUGUUUUUCGUUCAGAGUUAACCUUGCAAUCCUUUUUAAGUGCAUUUCUAUUAUAUAUAAGUAUUUGCGUGAUUUAUUCUGUGUAAGGAAUCUUGGUCAUUGGAAGUGAAGGAUAAUUUGAAUGAAUUGGAUGAUUAGAAAAAUGAAGACGGAAUAAAUUCGGCUUUAUUUCUAAAUGGAACGCCGACUAGAAAAGAUGGCCAUGCAGCGGCAGCAGCAGCAGCAGCAGCAGCAUCUCUUGGAGAUCGUCGUACAAGCUCGCUCGUUCUAUUCGAUCGAACAGAGGCGGGAAGGGGGACGGCAAAGGUCAGGAGACCGGCUUGGGCGCUGGAUUCCAAAGUUACUUUCACACGUGACUAGGAAAUUAUCUAUUCGCAUUGGUCGUUCGCGAUUCUUCGAUUUAUGUCGUGCGCGUCCACGAUUACGUCUUUCUGCAUCUUCAAAGAGCCGAUCGCAAAUCCAAUGGUUCUUGGGUUCGUCGACCUCGAUCCAAAUUUUCAAACUUAUUCAAAUGUUUUACGCGAGUCAAUAUUUUACUCGAAAGAAAACAAAUUAUAGAAAGGAGGAAAAAGGAUGCAAUUUAGUCGCAUUUACGAUUACAAACAAAAGCGAUGACUGGAAACAAUGGAUAAUUCUUCUCGAGAAGAAGCUUCCUAAGAGUUGGAUAUUUACAAUUAGAGUACAUAAGUUUACCGUUCGGUUUACGAUACGACUCGAGUGCUUCUUGGAAAAUGCAUUAAGCGUUACGAAGGGCGAGAAUGAAGGAGAACGGAAGAUAAUAUAGAAGUAAUUAUACUUCGGCGAUUAAUAUACUCUUUUUAAGUAC
rnacentral:lncRNA from 1 species